UUUCCCUACGGGACGCAGCAGUGAGGAAUAUUGGUCAAUGGGCGGUAGCCUGAACCAGCCAAGUAGCGUGAAGGAUGAAGGUUCUAUGGAUUGUAAACUUCUUUUAUAAAGGAAUAAAGUGAGGCACGUGUGCCUUUUUGUAUGUACUUUAUGAAUAAGGAUCGGCUAACUCCGUGCCAGCAGCCGCGGUAAUACGGAGGAUCCGAGCGUUAUCCGGAUUUAUUGGGUUUAAAGGGUGCGCAGGCGGAUUUUUAAGUCAGCGGUCAAAUCGUGGGGCUCAACCCCAUCCAGCCGUUGAAACUGGG
rnacentral:rRNA from 1 species